GAAGCACUGGCCUCACUGCACAUUUACCCUUAUUCUGCCUACAGCGAACACACAGAGUUAGGGCUGCAUGUGACUGGCCACAUGACCUCAGAGCAUCUGACUGCAAAUGCAUCAAGGACUUUUUUCACACCAUGGCAGGAUUUCAGAGAUCUCCAGUAAGCAAGAGAGCAAGUUAUUAUGUGCCUUGCCUUAGGAGAGAAGACACAAUCA